rnacentral:rRNA from 1 species
AGUCGAGCGGUAGAGAGGUGCUUGCACCUCUUGAGAGCGGCGGACGGGUGAGUAAAGCCUAGGAAUCUGCCUGGUAGUGGGGGAUAACGCUCGGAAACGGACGCUAAUACCGCAUACGUCCUACGGGAGAAAGCAGGGGACCUUCGGGCCUUGCGCUAUCAGAUGAGCCUAGGUCGGAUUAGCUAGUUGGUGAGGUAAUGGCUCACCAAGGCGACGAUCCGUAACUGGUCUGAGAGGAUGAUCAGUCACACUGGAACUGAGACACGGUCCAGACUCCUACGGGAGGCAGCAGUGGGGAAUAUUGGACAAUGGGCGAAAGCCUGAUCCAGCCAUGCCGCGUGUGUGAAGAAGGUCUUCGGAUUGUAAAGCACUUUAAGUUGGGAGGAAGGGCAUUAACCUAAUACGUUAGUGUUUUGACGUUACCGACAGAAUAAGCACCGGCUAACUCUGUGCCAGCAGCCGCGGUAAUACAGAGGGUGCAAGCGUUAAUCGGAAUUACUGGGCGUAAAGCGCGCGUAGGUGGUUCGUUAAGUUGGAUGUGAAAUCCCCGGGCUCAACCUGGGAACUGCAUUCAAAACUGUCGAGCUAGAGUAUGGUAGAGGGUGGUGGAAUUUCCUGUGUAGCGGUGAAAUGCGUAGAUAUAGGAAGGAACACCAGUGGCGAAGGCGACCACCUGGACUGAUACUGACACUGAGGUGCGAAAGCGUGGGGAGCAAACAGGAUUAGAUACCCUGGUAGUCCACGCCGUAAACGAUGUCAACUAGCCGUUGGGGAGCCUUGAGCUCUUAGUGGCGCAGCUAACGCAUUAAGUUGACCGCCUGGGGGAGUACGGCCGCAAGGKUUAAACUCAAAUGAAUUGACGGGGGCCCGC